rnacentral:rRNA from 1 species
CACCAGGCGCGAAACCUUUGCAAUACACGAAAGUGUGACAGGGUCAUCCCGAGUGCCGACCGCUGAGGUUGGCUUUUACCCAGUCUAGAAAGCUGGGGGAAUAAGGAGAGGGCAAGUCUGGUGUCAGCCGCCGCGGUAAUACCAGCUCUCCGAGUGGUGUGGACGUUUAUUGGGCCUAAAGCAUCCGUAGCUGGCUGAUCAAGUCCCCUGUUAAACCCACCGAUUUAAUCGUUGGCUUGCGGGGGAUACUGCUCGGCUAGGGGACGAGAGAGGCUGACGGUAUUCCCGGGGUAGGGGUGAAAUCCUAUAAUCCCGAGAAGACCACCAGUGGCGAAGGCUGUCUGCUAGAACGCGCCCGACGGUGAGGGAUGAAAGCUGGGGGAGCGAACCGGAUUAGAUACCCGGGUAGUCCCAGCUGUAAACGAUGCAGGCUAGGUGUUUGGACGGCCACGCGCCGUUCUAGUGCCGCAGGGAAGCUGUUAAGCCUGCCGCCUGGGGAGUACGAUCGCAAGACUGAAACUUAAAGGAAUUGGCGGGGGAGCAC